UCCCUUGUGCGCGCACACAGUACGACCGCGGAAAGAGCCGCGCGCUCACUAAUGCGUCAUACUUCCAUGGAAGUUGACGCGUAGUACGUCGUGCGGUUGAUAUUUGUCGCGCGCCAUGUGAUCUACUUGUGUCAUAUCUCAAACGUGCCGGAUACUAGCAUCCGUAUAUUGAAUUGCACAGUGACAUUGCUAUUGGCGAUGCAGACGUUACAGUGGCAGUGAUUCGAGAGGUUAGCGGUCGGCGCACGUGCUCGCCGGUGGAAGAUGAGUGGCGAUAAUGUUAGAUGACUGCGGCAUUUUGGAAUAUCGCACAAGUACCAACAUAAAGAUACUCUAUUAUGGAAAUGUUGAUGGAGGAACCAACUGAGAGAGAGCCCUGAAGUUGGAAGUCUGAUCUUAAUCCACACGAACUGACUGAAGAAUUAAUAUCAAAAACUUUCCUGUGCGCGCAAACGAAAUAUGAACAGCUAGCGUCCGGGUCCUCAAGCGUCCUCGAUGAAACAUCUCUACGAGCCACAUUGAUUACUCAUACGAAAGGCCUGAGAAGAACGGGCGAAAGAAACUCCGUGGGCUACUUUCUAGGAUCAGGUGAAUCACUUUCUCAGUUGGGCAGAGGGCACCACCGAGUCGAGUUACGUUGUGCAACGGCACAACACAACAAAUAUAACGAUAUUUAUCCACGGAUGUCUCCAUUACUGUGAAAACAAAGCGAUUUAUAAAAAAAACAAGUAUGAAUUGUAAUAAUAAUUUCUAAUUUUU